GACAUCUGGCAAAGACAGUCUAGAUGCAGUCACAUAUCAACAAGUGGAAGACUGUGUUUUCCCAGGGUAGAAGAACAAAAGUGCAUUUUUAUGUGGAGUUAUGAAGACCUACAGGCAGAGAGAGAAACAGGGGAGCAAGGUGCAAGAGUCCACAAAGGGACCUGAUGAAGCGAAGAUCAAGGCCUUGCUUGAGAGAACUGGUUAUACUCUGGAUGUAACCACAGGACAGAGGAAGUAUGGUGGUCCUCCACCAGACAGUGUGUACUCUGGCGUGCAACCUGGAAUUGGAACGGAGGUAUUUGUAGGCAAAAUACCAAGGGAUUUAUAUGAGGAUGAGUUGGUGCCCCUUUUUGAGAAGGCCGGACCCAUUUGGGAUCUACGUCUUAUGAUGGAUCCACUGUCCGGUCAGAAUAGAGGGUAUGCAUUUAUCACCUUCUGUGGAAAGGAAGCUGCACAGGAAGCCGUGAAACUGUGUGACAGCUAUGAAAUUCGCCCUGGUAAACACCUUGGAGUGUGCAUUUCUGUGGCAAACAACAGACUUUUUGUUGGAUCCAUUCCGAAGAAUAAGACUAAAGAAAACAUUUUGGAAGAAUUCAGUAAAGUCACAGAGGGUUUGGUGGACGUUAUUCUCUAUCAUCAACCCGAUGACAAAAAGAAGAAUCGGGGGUUCUGCUUCCUUGAAUAUGAGGAUCACAAGUCAGCAGCACAAGCCAGACGCCGGCUGAUGAGUGGAAAAGUAAAAGUGUGGGGAAAUGUAGUUACAGUUGAAUGGGCUGACCCUGUGGAAGAACCAGAUCCAGAAGUCAUGGCUAAG
rnacentral:sRNA from 1 species